CCUACGGGAGGCAGCAGUGAGGAAUAUUGGUCAAUGGACGAGAGACUGAACCAGCCAAGCCGCGUGAGGGAGGAAGGUACAGAGUAUCGUAAACUUCUUUUGUCAGGGAAUAAAGCCUGGCACGCGUCCCUGUUUGCGUUUACUUUAAGAAAAAGCAUCGGCUAACUCCGUGCCAGCAGCCGCGGUAAUACGGAGGAUCCGAGCGUUACUCGGAUUUAUUGGGUUUAAAGGGUACGGAGGUGGGUCUUUAAGUCAGUGGUUAAAGUCCGGGGCUCAACCGGCACACCGCCUUUGAAACUGGCAGUCUCGAGUUGGAGAGAGGUAUGCGGAAUGCGCGGUGUAGCGGUGAAAUGCAUAGAUAUCGCGCAGAACUCCGAUUGCGAAGGCAGCAUGCCGGCUCCACACUGACGCUGAGGCACGAAAGCGUGGGUAUCGAACAGGAUUAGAUACCCGGGUAGUC
rnacentral:rRNA from 1 species